UACGUAGGUGGCAAGCGUUAUCCGGAAUUACUGGGCGUAAAGCGCACGCAGGCGGCUAGUCAAGUUCGACGUGAAAGCUCCCGGCUUAACUGGGAGAGGUCGUUGAAAACUGGUUAGCUUGAGGCAAUGAGAGGGGUGUAGAAUUCCCGGUGUAGUGGUGGAAUGCGUAGAUAUCGGGAGGAAUACCAGUGGCGAAAGCGGCACCCUAGCGUUGUUCUGACGCUCAUGUGCGAAAGCGUGGGGAGCGAACGGG
rnacentral:rRNA from 2 species